rnacentral:rRNA from 1 species
GACGAACGCUGGCGGCGUGCUUAACACAUGCAAGUCGAACGGAAAGGCCCUGCUUUUGUGGGGUGCUCGAGUGGCGAACGGGUGAGUAACACGUGAGUAACCUGCCCUUGACUUUGGGAUAACUUCAGGAAACUGGGGCUAAUACCGGAUAGGAGCUCCUGCUGCAUGGUGGGGGUUGGAAAGUUUCGGCGGUUGGGGAUGGACUCGCGGCUUAUCAGCUUGUUGGUGGGGUAGUGGCUUACCAAGGCUUUGACGGGUAGCCGGCCUGAGAGGGUGACCGGCCACAUUGGGACUGAGAUACGGCCCAGACUCCUACGGGAGGCAGCAGUGGGGAAUAUUGCACAAUGGGCGGAAGCCUGAUCCAGCAAUGCCGCGUGAGUGAUGAAGGCCUUAGGGUUGUAAAGCUCUUUUACCCGGGAUGAUAAUGACAGUACCGGGAGAAUAAGCUCCGGCUAACUCCGUG